GUCUUCGUGGCCUAGUUGGUUAGGGCGUAGGUCUCAUACGUAUGCACCAACGAUCCCGUUUGACGGGAAUCAACCUACGAGCUUGUUGAAGUUCUGAAAUCCUAAGAUCGCGAGUUCGACUCUCGCCGAGGACA